rnacentral:lncRNA from 1 species
GGUCUUUUAUAAGAAGCAUAAAAACUGGUCACAGCUGUUUUAGGGGAUUCCCACACUCUUUGGAAAGAGUUCUUUUACCUUUCCACCUCUAAAAACCUUCAGCUCCUGAGACAGGCAGCUCACAUCUUGACAUUUUUGUGCCUUAAAUCUUCUCUGUGUGUCAAAGCCUCUUCCUAGAUUCUGAACCCACUUUCAGAGAAUGUUUUGUGUCAAAUUCACACACAGUCUACACUGAGAGAAGCACUUGUACUAAGCUUAUUAUGAAACAGAGGGUCUGCCCGGUGAGGCAACCUGUCAGUACAUCUUUUGUGUUGAACACAGCAACGUACCCGCACACUCACAAUCGGGGUACCCUGGGAACAGAACCCAUCUACCUUUGCACUGGUGCCACCUGGCUGGCAGAGGACCAUGAAGUGUUUCAUGAUAUUACCAUCAAGUCUGAAAAGGUUUUGGACCUAUGUGUCAAAUGGCUCAUUCCCCAAAAGCAAUGGAACGUGCUGGAACAGUGACGGGAAGAGAAGCCCCAGAAACCCGAACAGAGGAAAUGAAGCGCCCGGAUCUGGCUCAUUCCAGGACAGUCUCAAAGCAUCAGCCGGAUUUUCCAGACAUGCCACCAAUCAGUGGGUCAAUAGGAGAUGCUUCCUCCAUCACCUUUAUACACUGAAGGGGGUUGCUCCCUGCAAGGGUCUGGGAGACACUGUGAGGCGCAAGGGAAAAUUAUCUUGGAUUUUUACAAACUUCUGUAUGAGGGAUACUUAGGGAAUAAGAGAAUGUGGGGGAAAAAAUGAUCAAAGUGUUUUGGGGAGGUAUCAGAAUGGUACAACGGAAUGAAUAAGGAAAUAAAUGUGUAGAUAACGUGCA